AUGCAAAUUGGCCUGAUGCUGUUUAUGUGUAUGUGAAUAUCCAUAAUUGGUACUUAUGCCUCCCCGGCAUAGACAGGUAAGA
rnacentral:sRNA from 1 species